rnacentral:lncRNA from 1 species
AACAUAUAGCAAACAAGCCAAAAGAAAAGAAAACUUGUUAUAAACUAGAGAAAUGGUGGAGAGAAUUUAGAGGCAGAGAAAACAAAGGAAUGAUGAACCCUUUUAUAGACACAGCCUUGGCUAAUAACCAAAGAAGGAAGGCUUCAGGAAGGUGUAAGGAAAUUUCCUUCUAACAUGCGAGCUUUACUUUCAAAUUUUUGCAACACUCCCCCUUAGAGACCACAAUGUAUGAAAGAUUUGAUCAUGGGGAACAUGAUGCCUUGUAGGCCCAUAUCUAGGGCUUUCUUGGCCCAAGCUGCGGAGGUCUUGGGUAAGCAAAGAAUGGCGGGGGUUUGAGCGGCGGCCAAGGAGUGGAGGAUAGGAGCGCUUUGGACACGACGCCAUGGUCGUGCUCCAUGUCGACGAAGCCAAAGUUGUAGCCGGAGAGGCCAUGGAUCUCGCGAGGGUUUGGGAUAAGGAGAUGAGGUAGUUGUGGCGGUGGAGGUGUAGUAGGAAAAGGUGGUUGAUUUGAGGGGUGAGGAGGUGGUGGUGAGGUUUAGGGUUUUGACUGAAGGCGGAUUUGGGUGGCGUUGGGUUGGAUGGAGGUUGUGGUUUGAUGGGGAAGUUAGGGGAAGGAGAGGGCGCAUAGAGAGAUGAAUAAGAAGAUAUUUUUUUAUAAUUAAAAUUUCUAUUUUUUAAUUUUUUUAAUUAAACAGUAAUUACAUUAUUUUAAUUUUUAUUAAUAUGUUUUUUCACUUCAGCAAAAAAAAAAAAAAAAAAGUGGGCCAUAUACAUGACACAUCAUCAUUGUGGUAAAAAUAUGAAAAUAAGCCUAUCAUGUCAUCAAAAUUGGCAGAGUUAUGAAUGGAGAUAACAUCAUGUAUCAAAUUGGAACACAAAACAUGGUCAAGGGGGUUAAGUGGGCCAUUUUAACUUCCGGGGGGCACUAUAGUAAAGAAGCCUUUAAAACAAUAGUCCAAUCACUAUCGCAACUCAUUAAUCAACCUCAACCGCGAAUUAAAUUCAAAACCCUAGUUCCCGGAAACUUAAGGUGUGUACACAACUUUAGAAAAGUCGUAAGGCCAUUCUAGUAUUUUCCCCAAAGGACGAGACGGUCUCAAAAGACCUGUGGC